rnacentral:rRNA from 1 species
CGGGGUGCAGAGGCGCGAAAACUUUGCAAUACACGAAAGUGUGACAGGGUCAUCCCGAGUGCCGACCGCUGAGGUUGGCUUUUACCCAGUCUAGAAAGCUGGGGGAAUAAGGAGAGGGCAAGUCUGGUGUCAGCCGCCGCGGUAAUACCAGCUCUCCGAGUGGUGUGGACGUUUAUUGGGCCUAAAGCAUCCGUAGCUGGCUGAACAAGUCCCCUGUUAAACCCACCGAUUUAAUCGUUGGUCUGCGGGGGAUACUGCUCGGCUAGGGGACGAGAGAGGCAGACGGUAUUCCCGGGGUAGGGGUGAAAUCCUAUAAUCCCGAGAAGACCACCAGUGGCGAAGGCUGUCUGCUAGAACGCGCCCGACGGUGAGGGAUGAAAGCUGGGGGAGCGAACCGGAUUAGAUACCCGGGUAGUCCCAGCUGUAAACGAUGCAGACUAGGUGUUUGGACGGCCACGUGCCGUUCUAGUGCCGCAGGGAAGCUGUUAAGUCUGCCGCCUGGGGAGUACGAUCGCAAGAUUGAAACUUAAAGGAAUUGGCGGGGGAGCAC